AGAGGGUGCGAGCGUUGUUCGGAAUUAUUGGGCGUAAAGGGCGCGUAGGCGGUGCGGUAAGUCACCUGUGAAAUCUCCCGGCUCAACCGGGAGCUUGCAGGCGAAACUGCCGUGCUGGAGUGUGGGAGAGGUGCGUGGAAUUCCCGGUGUAGCGGUGAAUUGCGUAGAUAUCGGGAGGAACACCUGUGGCGAAAGCGGCGCACUGGACCACAACUGACGCUGAGGCGCGAAAGCUAGGGGAGCACACAGGAUUACAUACCCUGGUAGUCCUAGCCCUAAACUAUGGAUGCUUGGUGUGAUCGGUACCCAAUCCGAUCGUGCCGAAUCUAACGCGAUAAGCAUCCCGCCUGGGGAGUACGGUCGAAAGGCUG
rnacentral:rRNA from 1 species